rnacentral:rRNA from 1 species
AUUGAACGCUGGCGGCAUGCCUUACACAUGCAAGUCGAACGGCAGCACGGGUGCUUGCACCUGGUGGCGAGUGGCGAACGGGUGAGUAAUACAUCGGAACAUGUCCUGUAGUGGGGGAUAGCCCGGCGAAAGCCGGAUUAAUACCGCAUACGAUCUACGGAUGAAAGCGGGGGACCUUCGGGCCUCGCGCUAUAGGGUUGGCCGAUGGCUGAUUAGCUAGUUGGUGGGGUAAAGGCCUACCAAGGCGACGAUCAGUAGCUGGUCUGAGAGGACGACCAGCCACACUGGGACUGUGACACGGCCCAGACUCCUACGGGAGGCAGCAGUGGGGAAUUUUGGACAAUGGGCGAAAGCCUGAUCCAGCAAUGCCGCGUGUGUGAAGAAGGCCUUCGGGUUGUAAAGCACUUUUGUCCGGAAAGAAAUCCUUGGCCCUAAUACGGUCGGGGGAUGACGGUACCGGAAGAAUAAGCACCGGCUAACUACGUG